CUGCGCCCGGUCACCGAGCCGGCGGCGGGAGCUUCUGCGCGGGGGAAGGAGGGGAUGGGCUUUGUCGAAGGGCUCCCGCGCGUGUGCCUAGAUAUGUUGGGAUAGAAACCCGUAAGAACACUCUAUCAGUUGCCACUACAGUUUAAUUUGAAAAAGAAAGUUUUUGAGCUCCGCCGCGGAACUUACUAAUGGGAGGAACCACCUCAGGGUAACCCUCUCACCUGGCGGCUGCUGUGCAUCCGCAGGCAGAGACUGUCCGGGUCGCAAGCACCGACGAGGGGCUCCCGGUCUUCCCCGUGAGCCCCGUCCCUCCACUCCAGCCAAGCCGGCUAGGCUCCCCCUCUCUGGUACUGCCCGGCUUUGUGUCGCUCCUGAUGUGGCGGUGCACCCAGGAGAGAAGAGGGUCUUUUUGUCCCUCUCGUUAGCUUCAGCCAAGAGGAAAGAUUUUUUAUUUCCCCCCUAAUAUCAGUAUUUAAUGGAGCGGGAAAAAGCAUAUUUCCUGCCCCGCGCUAAUUAUAGCGCGUCCUCCACCGCGCUGCCCCUUCCGUUCCCAAGCGGCCGGCGAGCCCCCGGAGCCGGCGCUGCCGGCGCACUCGCUCCGCAGCUUCUCGGGUACUCCGCUGCCCGAGAGGAGGUCUCCCGUCCCAGGAACAUGGCCCACGCCGGGCUUCCGUUCCAGUUCCUCCAGGUACGACUUCGGAGAUAACCUUACUGGAAGGCGUCCGUACGCACCGCAACGUGAAACCCGGGCAGCGCCGGGGCUGGGACCUCUGCCCCGCUCUGCUGUUUCCCCCUCCUCUCUCAUACCUUUAAGUGCUCGGCUCUCCCCCACGACCUCCUCCCUCCCCAUAAGUCACAGAGCUGCCGGCUGGGCUCGCCUGCCCCAGCCGAGGGAGCGGGGCAUCAGCGGGCUCGCCUUUGCGAUAAAGCGAGACCACCGUCUCGGGACGCCGCCUCCGCCGAGUCCCCGGCGGAGAGGAACCGAGGACAGGCUGGGCGGCGGGGGGAGGAGAUGUCCCUCCCCCGCUCCGCCGGGAGGUGAUCUCUCGCCUCGGGUCCCUCCUCUGGAUGCUGGGAAGUUCCGAAGCGGGAUCGCCAGAAACACGCUCUGCGUCGGGAGCGCCUCUCGCGGGGCUCGCCGCUAACCGCGCUCUCUCUCCGCUCGCAGGCGGCGCCCGGGCUGGGGGCCGGGACCAUGCACCCAGCGCGGCGCUGAGCCCCGCGGCGGCGAAGCGGAGCCCUCUCCUGCCGGCAGCCCCCGACCUGCGUGCGAGCGGGGCCGCGCCCGCCGCCGCCUCCCAUGACCCUGCGCUCCGCCGAGUCCCUGGAGAGCGCGGAGAGCUCCGGGGAGCGCUGGGAGCACCCCGGGGCGGCGGCGCCCGUUGCCGAGGAGUGCCGUGAGGCGGAGCAGCUGGCCGCGGCUAUGGAGGAGCUGCGGCGGGCAGGUUACCAGAUGGAUGCCAGAGACAAGCAGCUUUUACGCUCCCUGCGCCUGGAGCUCUGCACAGAGGUGCUGGUGGAUGGACUCGUUAUUCAGUAUCUCUACCAAGAAGGGAUUCUCACAGACAGUCAUGUUCAAGAAAUAAAAGCCCAAACCACUAGUCAGAGGAAAACCAUGAUGCUUCUUGAUAUUCUCCCCACCAGAGGACCCAAAGCUUUUGAUGUGUUCUUGGAUUCCUUACAGGAGUUCCCGUGGGUUAAGGACAAGCUGAUGCAGAAGCGUAAGGAAAUGACAAUACAAGAUCCUUCAGAUUUAACCGAGGUUGCACCGUGCAUUUUGAAGCUGUCACCAACAGAUCAGCAGCUGAACAAGCUGGCGAGGAGGCUGGGGCCUGAAUGGGAGCAUGUAGCUCUGUGCUUGGGUUUGUCCCAUACUGACAUCUAUCGAUGUAAAGUCAAUCACCCUCACAACCUGCAGUCACAGAUCGUAGCUGCAUUUGUCCUGUGGAAACAGCGUUUGGGGAAAAAAGCAACAAUCCAAAGUCUGCACUCCAGUCUGAUGGCAGAGGAAGUGGAUCCUUCGGUGAUACACUACAUGCUUGAGUGAAGCCAUGCUAUUUAUUCAGAGCAUCCACGUAUUUCGUUCAAUUAAGUGAAGAGGAUGGAAAUGUGGAAAACCAUCCCAGAGCAGGUGUACAGACAUUUGGCAAAUUCGUAUGAGCACAGCCCAGCCCAGGGAGUGGGAUGAGGACUUUGAAGCAAUUCUGACAGUGAGAUUGACAGGAGCAUGGUUUGCAUAUUAGGGAAGAGAGGCAAAGCACCCUUCCUGGGAGCAGUUUGGAGGAAAAAAAGCUAGAGAUCGUUGACAGGAGGAACUAUUGCAAAUGUGAUGUAGAGGAAGAAGUUGACUCCCAGUGUCAUAAAUGGGCUUUCCUGUGUCACUGUAGCUGCUUAUCUCUGGAGCCAGAAAAGAUACACGAGGAAAUGUGAAGGUACGGACAUAUUUGCACCAUGCCAGCCAAAAGAUGAGUUGUGGCCUUACUGAGGUCGAGAAUGAGGAGGAUGUGAGCUUGAAGAAAAGAAACCCUAUAAGAUGGAGACCUGACAUAAUCCCUUCACCAGCUUCACUGACUUUUAGCUAAUGAUAGGCAUGUCUCCUACACUUCUCUUAUGCUAGCGGAAUGAAGAUGGGCCUUAUUGGCAGGCAGUUCAGCCCACCUGUCAGGUAGAAGUGUAUGACAUCUUCUAGCAGGGUCUCUUUUCCACUAACUGUUGAAGGAGUAUAGAAGACUAUCUUUGGCUAAACAUUUAGUGUUAUAAAGCCAAAGAAUUCAUCUAACUUUAGACAUCUCCUGUAGUGGCACCUACAUCAGAGCUGAUCCCUGUCACAUCCUUUUACAGUCAAGGGAGAGAAGGCAGUGCCUUUUAGGUGCAAUUCCUCUACCUUUCCUCAUGCUUUUUUCCUAGGAUGAGAUGAAUUCUCACCCCAGUGACUAUAAUCGAUGCCCAGAUCAUCCAUAGGUUUGUACAUUAAUUGACAUCCCUCCCUUGUGUCAAAUCAAUGCCCCCACCCCUCACCAAAGUACCGAUUUUUGAGACAAGGUGUUUUCACCUCCUGAUGCUUCUGGCUGCCAAUGCUGAUGGCUGCUGCAUUAAUUCUGCCAUCUCACCAGCUGUGGACAUCCUGAUAAGGUGAAUUUCAGGGAGGCCUUUCUGGGGGUAAUAAAGGAUUCAUGUAUCCAAUAAAAGGAAAUUGAAGCUUGGUAGACAAGCUUCCUUGGAAAAAUACCUACUCUGUUUGUCUGAACAGUUCAUGCACAGCAAGAGGGAUUCUGAAACUAAAUGCAGCCUUGUAUUCGAGUUCUAGUCCCAGCUGUGUAAAAACACAGAGUGGAUCACUGCUACAAAAAUAUAUCUUUCAGAGGAAACCAGCAAAGAUGAGGGUGCCCAACAAAGGUGAUAAAAUGCCCAGCAAUAGAUUGUAUAUGUUAUCUUGACCAAAGUACUUGACUGUCUGCUUUGCAGCACUGCUGAGCAAAUAUGUUCCAUUUUGUGCCUUGUGAGAAGUUCAGUGGCUUGGCUUCACCCCACCACCCCCGCCACCCCCUAUACCCUUUGUUGCUAGAAUUGUAAAAGCUUGAAUUUGCAAUAGGCUUGCUUUUCCUCGUGUCUGUGUGUCUCACCUCAGUGCCAUUAAAAGUCGUGACACAUAACAGAGAAACAGCUGUGCAGGAAACUUCAGGCAUCUGUUUAAUAUUAAUUGCAUGUAUUCCUAAAAAGUCAUAGCAUGUUUUUAAAAUUUCACUGCACAUCUGGUGCGUCACUGCUAAGGAGUUUUUUUUAAUAGGUUCUAUCUGUGAGUCACUGAGAACUAUCAGCCACAAGCUGUCUAGAUACUGAGGAGACGCACAGGCAAGUAAAAUGGGAGAGAUGUUUCUAAACAGCUUCUAAAAACCCACAGUUCUGAACAAAAUGACAAAGCAACACUGACUGUUAGCUAUCCAUCAGCAGACACCAAGCUAUAGGAAAUCUAGGUUUAGGAAAGGAUAUUCUAUUAAUAAAC